CCAGUUCAUAGUGAAUGAUGGCAGGUCCUACUGCUGUAAACACACAGUCCAGUUCAUAGUGAAUGAUGGCAGGUCCUACUGUUUGUAAACACAGUCCAGUUCAUAGUGAAUGAUGGCAGGUCCUACUGCUGUAAACACACAGUCCAGUUCAUAGUGAAUGAUGGCAGGUCCUACUGCCUGUAAACACACAGUCCAGUUCAUAGUGAAUGAUGACAGUAAAGCAGGACUUAUUGCUGUAAACACACAGUCCAGUUCAUAGUGAAUGAUAGCAGGACCUACUGCCUGUAAACACACUGUCCAGUUCAUAGUGAAUGAUGACAGGCCCUACUGCCUGUAAACACACAGUCCAGUUCAUAGUGAAUGAUGGCAGGUCCUACUGUCUAUAAACACACAGUCCAGUUCAUAGUGAAUGAUGGCAGGUCCUACUGUCUAUAAACACACAGUCCAGUUCAUAGUGAAUGAUGGCAGGUCCUACUGCUGUAAACACACAGUCCAGUUCAUAGUGAAUGAUGGCAGGUCCUACUGUCUAUAAACACACAGUCCAGUUCAUAGUGAAUGAUGGCAGGUCCUACUGCUGUAAACACACAGUCCAGUUCAUAGUGAAUGAUGACAGGACCUACUGUCUAUAAACACACAGUCCAGUUCAUAGUGAAUGAUGGCAGGACCUACUGCCUGUAAACACAGUCCAGUUCAUAGUGAAUGAUGACAG
rnacentral:lncRNA from 1 species